rnacentral:rRNA from 1 species
AGAUUGAACGCUGGCGGCAUGCCUUACACAUGCAAGUCGAACGGCAGCACGGGAGCAAUCCUGGUGGCGAGUGGCGAACGGGUGAGUAAUAUAUCGGAACGUGCCCAGUCGUGGGGGAUAACGUAGAGAAAUUUACGCUAAUACCGCAUGCGAUCCAAGGAUGAAAGGCGGGGGACCGUAAGGCCUCGCGCGACUGGAGCGGCUGAUAUCAGAUUAGCUUGUUGGUGAGGUAAAAGCUCACCAAGGCGACGAUCUGUAGCUGGUUUGAGAGAACGACCAGCCACACUGGGACUGAGACACGGCCCAGACUCCUACGGGAGCAGCAGUGGGAAUUUUGGACAAGUGGGCGAAAGCCUGAUCCAGCAAUGCCGCGUGCAGGAAGAAGGCCUUCGGUUAGUAACUGUCUUUUAGUACGGAGACGGAAAAGGUCGUCGACCCUAAGUACGGCCGGACCAGUGACGGUACCGUAAG